ACUCAAAUGAAUAGACGGGGGCCCGCACAAGCGGUGGAGCAUGUGGUUCAAUUCGACGCAACGCGAAGAACCUUACCUGGGCUCGAAAUGUAGUGGACCGGGGUGGAAACAUCCCUUUCCCGCAAGGGACUGCUAUAUAGGUGCUGCAUGGCUGUCGUCAGCUCGUGUCGUGAGAUGUUGGGUUAAGUCCCGCAACGAGCGCAACCCUUAUUGCCAGUUGCUAACGCGUAGUGGCGAGCACUCUGGCGAAACUGCCCCGGAUAACGGGGAGGAAGGUGGGGAUGACGUCAAGUCCUCAUGGCCUUUAUGUCCAGGGCUACACACGUGCUACAAUGGCCGGUACAAACCGUCGCAAACUCGCGAGAGGGAGCUAAUCGGAAAAAGCCGGCCUCAGUUCGGAUUGGAGUCUGCAACUCGACUCCAUGAAGCUGGAAUCGCUAGUAAUCGCGGAUCAGCACGCCGCGGUGAAUACGUUCCCGGGCCUUGUACACACCGCCCGU
rnacentral:rRNA from 1 species